GAUGAACGCUGGCGGCGUGCCUAACACAUGCAAGUCGAGCGAUUUACUUCGGUAAAGAGCGGCGGACGGGUGAGUAACGCGUGGGUAACCUGCCCUGUACACACGGAUAACAUACCGAAGGUAUGCUAAUACGAGAUAAUAUGCUUUUAUCGCAUGGUAGAAGUAUCAAAGCUUUUGCGGUACAGGAUGGACCCGCGUCUGAUUAGCUAGUUGGUAAGGUAACGGCUUACCAAGGCGACGAUCAGUAGCCGACCUGAGAGGGUGAUCGGCCACAUUGGAACUGAGACACGGUCCAAACUCCUACGGGAGGCAGCAGUGGGGAAUAUUGCACAAUGGGCGAAAGCCUGAUGCAGCAACGCCGCGUGAGGGAAGAAGUAUUUCGGGUAUGUAAACUUCUAUCAGCAGGGAAGAAAAUGAC
rnacentral:rRNA from 1 species